rnacentral:rRNA from 1 species
AUACGUAGGGGGCGAGCGUUGUCCGGAAUGAUUGGGCGUAAAGGGCGCGUAGGCGGCCCGGUAAGUCUGGAGUGAAAGUCCUGUUUUUGAGAUGGGAAUUGCUUUGGAUACUGUCGGGCUUGAGUGCAGGAGAGGUAAGUAGAAUUCCCAGUGUAGCGGUGAAAUGCGUAGAGAUUGGGAGGAACACCAGUGGCGAAGGCGAAUUACUGGACUGUAACUGACGCUGAGGCGCGAAAGUGUGGGGAGCAAACAGGAUUAGAUACCCUGGUAGUCCACGCUGUAAACGAUGAAUGCUAGGUGUAGGGGGUAUCGACCCCUUUUGUGCCGGAGUCAACACAAUAAGCAUUCCGCCUGGGGAGUACGGCCGCGAGGUUGAAACUCAAAUGAAUUGGCGGGG